CCGAGCGAGGGCCCCCUGGGGCCCGACCUCCCACCCCCUGACAAACGACCGGUUUGCCUCGGGGGCGACCCGGCUGUCCGGAAGGUGAGCCGGGUUCCCCCGGAGGACACCCACUCUGCGUCUCUGCGUCGGAGUCCGAAAGAAAAUCGAAAGCA
rnacentral:misc_RNA from 1 species